rnacentral:rRNA from 1 species
CCUACGGGAGGCAGCAGUGGGGAAUCUUGCGCAAUGGGCGAAAGCCUGACGCAGCCAUGCCGCGUGAAUGAUGAAGGUCUUAGGAUUGUAAAAUUCUUUCACCGGGGACGAUAAUGACGGUACCCGGAGAAGAAGCCUCGGCUAACUUCGUGCCAGCAGCCGCGGUAAUACGACGGGGGCUAGCGUUGCUCGGAAUUACUGGGCGUAAAGGGCGCGUAGGCGGACAUUUAAGUCAGGGGUGAAAUCCCAGAGCUCAACUCUGGAACUGCCUUUGAUACUGGGUGUCUUGAGUGUGAGAGAGGUAUGUGGAACUCCGAGUGUAGAGGUGAAAUUCGUAGAUAUUCGGAAGAACACCAGUGGCGAAGGCGACAUACUGGCUCAUUACUGACGCUGAGGCGCGAAAGCGUGGGGAGCAAACAGGAUUAGAUACCCUAGUAGUC